rnacentral:rRNA from 1 species
UACGUAGGUGGCAAGCGUUGUCCGGAUUUACUGGGCGUAAAGGAUGCGUAGGCGGACAUUUAAGUCAGAUGUGAAAUACCCGAGCUUAACUUGGGUGCUGCAUUUGAAACUGGGUGUCUAGAGUUCAGGAGAGGUAAGUGGAAUUCCUAGUGUAGCGGUGAAAUGCGUAGAGAUUAGGAAGAACACCAGUGGCGAAGGCGACUUACUGGACUGUAACUGACGCUGAGGCAUGAAAGCGUGGGGAGCAAACAGG